rnacentral:rRNA from 1 species
GACGAACGCUGGCGGCGUGCCUAACACAUGCAAGUCGAACGGAACUGUUUUGAAAGAUUUCUUCGGAAUGAAUUUGAUUUAGUUUAGUGGCGGACGGGUGAGUAACGCGUGAGUAACCUGCCUUCAAGAGGGGAAUAACAUUCUGAAAAGAAUGCUAAUACCGCAUGACAUAUCGGAACCACAUGGUUUUGAUAUCAAAGAUUUUAUCGCUUGAAGAUGGACUCGCGUCCGAUUAGUUAGUUUGUGAGGUAACGGCUCACCAAGACCGCGAUCGGUAGCCGGGCUGGGGGGGUGGACCGGCCACUUUGGGGAUGGGCCCCGGCCCAGACCCCUCCGGGGGGCAGGGGGGGGGGAUAUUGGGCAAGGGGGCCAACCCUACCGCAGCAACGCCGGGGAAAGGAUGAAGUUUUUGGGAUUUUAAAUUUUUUUUAUAAAGGACGAAAAAGGACGUUACUUAAGGAAUAACCCCCGCCUACUUCCGU